rnacentral:rRNA from 1 species
UGCAAGUCGAGUGCGCGUCCGUAGCAAUACGGAUGGCGCACGGCGCACGGGUGCGUAACACGUGGGCAAUCUGCCCUUCGAUGGGGAAUAACUCCGGGAAACCGAAGCUAAUUCCGCAUAACAUUCCUUGGACCUCGGUUCGAGGACUCAAAGCCGUAAGGCGUCGAAGGAGGAGCCCGCGCCCGAUUAGCUAGUUGGUGAGGUAACGGCUCACCAAGGCAAUGAUCGGUAGCUGGUCUGAGAGGAUGGCCAGCCACACUGGAACUGAGACACGGUCCAGACUCCUACGGGAGGCAGCAGUGGGGAAUCUUGCGCAAUGGGCGAAAGCCUGACGCAGCGACGCCGCGUGGGGGAUGAAGCAUCUCGGUGUGUAAACCCCUUUCGACUGGGACGAAUACCUCGCAAGAGGGGUGACGGUACCAGUAGAAGAAGCCCCGGCUAACUACGUGCCAGCAGCCGCGGUAAGACGUAGGGGGCCAGCGUUGUUCGGAAUUACUGGGUGUAAAGGGUUCGUAGGCGGUGUGGCAAGUCGGGAGUGAAAUCUAUGGGCUUAACCCAUAGGCUGCUUCCGAAACUGCCGUGCUUGAGUGUGGGAGAGGCGCGUGGAAUUGCAGGUGUAGCGGUGAAAUGCGUAGAUAUCUGCAGGAACACCCGUGGCGAAAGCGGCGCGCUGGACCACUACUGACGCUGAGGAACGAAAGCUAGGGGAGCAAACAGGAUUAGAUACCCUGGUAGUCCUAGCCCUAAACGAUCAGGACUUGGGGUGCCACCCGUUCGGGUGUCGUCCCGGAGCUAACGCGUUAAGUCCUGCACCUGGGGAGUACGGUCGCAAGACUGAAACUCAAAGGAAUUGACGGGGGCCCGCACAAGCGG